GACGAACGCUGGCGGCGUGCUUAACACAUGCAAGUCGAACGGAAAGGCCCUGCUUUUGUGGGGUGCUCGAGUGGCGAACGGGUGAGUAACACGUGAGUAACCUGCCCUUGACUUUGGGAUAACUUCAGGAAACUGGGGCUAAUACCGGAUAGGAGCUCCUGCUGCACGGUGGGGGAUGGAAAGUUUCGGCGGUUGGGGAUGGACUCGCGGCUUAUCAGCUUGUUGGUGGGGUAGUGGCUUACCAAGGCUUUGACGGGUAGCCGGCCUGAGAGGGUGAACGGCCACAAUGGGACUGAGAGACGGCCCAGACUCCUACGGGAGGCAGCAGUGGGGAAUAUUGCACAAUGGGCGGAAGCCUGAUGCAGCAACGCCGCGUGCGGGAUGACGGCCUUCGGGUUGUAAACCGCUUUCGCCUGUGACGAAGCGUGAGUGACGGUAAUGGGUAAAGAAGCACCGGCUAACUACGUG
rnacentral:rRNA from 1 species